GACGAACGCUGGCGGCGUGCUUAACACAUGCAAGUCGAACGAAGAGCGAUGGAAGCUUGCUUCUAUCAAUCUUAGUGGCGAACGUGUGAGUAACGCGUAAUCAACCUGCCCUUCAGAGGGGGACAACAGUUGGAAACGACUGCUAAUACCGCAUACGAUCCAAUCUCGGCAUCGGGACUGGAUGAAAGGUGGCCUCUAUUUAUAAGCUAUCACUGAAGGAGGGGAUUGCGUCUGAUUAGCUAGUUGGAGGGGUAACGGCCCACCAAGGCGAUGAUCAGUAGCCGGUCUGAGAGGAUGAACGGCCACAGUGGGACUGAGACACGGCCCAGACUCCUACGGGAGGCAGCAGUGGGGAAUCUUCCGCAAUGGACGAAAGUCUGACGGAGCAACGCCGCGGGAGUGAUGACGGCCUUCGGGUUGUAAAGCUCUGUUAAUCGGGACGAAUGGUUCUUGUGCGAAUAGUGCGAGGAUUUGACGGUACCGGAAUAGAAAGCCACGGCUAACUACGUG
rnacentral:rRNA from 1 species